rnacentral:misc_RNA from 1 species
UGAAGUGCGAUAUGUAGUGUGAAUUGCAGAAUUCCGUGAAUCAUCGAAUCUUUGAACGCAUCUUGCACUCUCUGGCAUUCCGGAGAGUAUGCCUGUUUGAGGGUCAUUUGAAACAUAAAUUCUAAAUUUCUUAGAAAAAAAUGGGUCUUCCAGUUUUUAUGGUCACCUAAAAUAUAAAACACGCUCAUUUUUGGGUUGCGUGAUACUUUUUCGUAACUUUCCUCGAUAUGUUGCGUGGCGUCAUUUUGCAAAAAUGAAAUGAAUUCGUUUUCGCAAAAAAUAAAGAAAAUUGAAUCAUGACCUCAAAUUAGGUAGGAGUACCCGCUGAACUUAA